GGAAGUUUCAGGUAAACACUGGUCUGAGUGUCAGAAACUGCUGUUGGAUACUGAACUGUGAAAAGUUGAAACUAUUUGAUUAAUCAAUCAGGUAAUCAGAACAUUAAUCAGCAACUAUACGCCUGUAUGAGACGCACCAUCAGCGCGAUAAAGUCAAACAGGACUUUCAUGUAAAGUUUUAAGUUACAUAAUGUCAUGUGACUUGUUGCCGCAGUAAUGACAAUAUGACUUGUGUAACAACCAAACCGCAACCAUUUCACAACGUGUUAAAAAGUGUCUCGUAUAGAACACAAGAACAUUUUGAUAAAUGAUGAGCUUAAUGUUUUGUUUUCAGAAUCAAUCAAUCAAUAAAUGUAAAAAUCAAUAUAUGAAUAAAUAAUUCAACUUAAGAGUAAAAAAACUUUAUCAGAUAAGAAUGGUGUUUGUGUCUGCAGGUUCUGAUGGACUCGACUCAGAAUCCAACGGAAAUGGACAGAAGCUGCUGAAUGGAGGAGGAGGAGGAGGAGGAGGAGGAGGAGCUGACAGUCAGACAGGAACCAUCGACCCAUCCAGUA
rnacentral:lncRNA from 15 species